CGGGGGAGCAAGCGUUGUUCGGAUUUACUGGGCGUAAAGGGCGCGUAGGCGGCCAGCACAAGUCAGUUGUGAAAUCUCCGGGCUUAACUCGGAAAGGUCAACUGAUACUGUGCGGCUAGAGUGCAGAAGGGGCAACUGGAAUUCUCGGUGUAGCGGUGAAAUGCGUAGAUAUCGAGAGGAACACCUGCGGCGAAGGCGGGUUGCUGGGCUGACACUGACGCUGAUGCGCGAAAGCCAGGGGAGCGAACGGGAUUAGAUACCCCGGUAGUCCUGGCCUUAAACGAUGGAUGCUUGGUGUCUGGAGUUUUAUAGUCUCCGGGUGCCGUAGCUAACGCGUUAAGCAUCCCGCCUGGGGAGUACGGUCGCAAGACUG
rnacentral:rRNA from 1 species